GUGGGGAAGGUCUGCGAGAAGCUCGGCGGCCACUUCUGCACCACGUGUUGGGAGCACGUCCUCGACGGGCACCCUGAGGACUGAGCUGCGGGGCGCACGGAUGGCCUCGCGCAGUGGCGGAAACUCGCCGAGUGCGCUUGGCCCCGCGCGCCCAGCGGCGUGCGUGCCGCUUAGGGUUGGGCAUGUCUGGGGGCCAGC
rnacentral:ribozyme from 1 species